CUGCCUUUAUCUAUCUCGGACGGGGGGCUGUAAUGAGAGAAAUUCCUUUCCCUUUAGAUUAGAGUAAGGUUCCUCCACGACCCAUGAUCACCUAUUCCUUUUAAUGCUAAUGACUCCCCUCUCAAUAUUAGAGGGGGAUGGUGGCAGAGUCUAGUAAGUCACCGCCCACUUCCACAAGCUGGUAGGGACAGAAAGAGAUAUGGGGCCAUCUAAUCCAAACCAUUGAUAUGCAGAGAAUAAAAUCUCUUACUCCCGGAAGGAGUCGUAUUGAGAAGUUGUUCAGUCGAUCGUCCCAUUCAUUUGAUAGGCGGCCGUGGGCCGGCAUGUUGGAUCGAGAAGAUAGGGCGUAUGGGCCUAUAAGUUUUUGGGGGUGGGAGAUGCAGCUGGCAAUAG
rnacentral:lncRNA from 1 species